rnacentral:rRNA from 1 species
UACGUAGGGUGCAAGCGUUAAUCGGAAUUACUGGGCGUAAAGCGUGCGCAGGCGGUUUUGUAAGUCUGUCGUGAAAGCCCCGGGCUCAACCUGGGAAUUGCGAUGGAGACUGCAAGGCUUGAAUCUGGCAGAGGGGGGUAGAAUGCCGCGUGUAGCAGUGAAAUGCGUAGAGAUGCGGCGGAACACCGAUGGCGAAGGCAGCCCCCUGGGCUGAGAUUGACGCUCAGGCACGAAAGCGUGGGGAGCAAACAGG